rnacentral:siRNA from 1 species
UGAAUGGUCAAACAAAGGGG